CCCCUUCCCAUAGCCGCUAAGAGGGCCUAUAUUAGAGAGGUCCGGUUCGCCGGACUAUGGUGAUAAACGUGCGUGAAAUAAGCAGGCCGGACCGGGGUGCGAUUCCCCGCGGCUCCACCAAACUCUCUGCGUGUAUCGACGCGAGU
rnacentral:tmRNA from 1 species